UACGUAGGGUGCGAGCGUUGUUCGGAAUUACUGGGCGUAAAGCGCACGUAGGCGGCUUUGUAAGUUAGAGGUGAAAGCCCGGGGCUCAACUCCGGAAUUGCCUUUAAGACUGCAUCGCUAGAAUUGUGGAGAGGUAAGUGGAAUUCCGAGUGUAGAGGUGAAAUUCGUAGAUAUUCGGAAGAACACCAGUGGCGAAGGCGACUUACUGGACACAUAUUGACGCUGAGGUGCGAAAGCGUGGGGAGCAAACGGG
rnacentral:rRNA from 1 species